GAGUUUGAUCCUGGCUCAGGAUGAACGCUAGCGGCAGGCCUAACACAUGCAAGUCGAGGGGUAACAUAGAAAAGCUUGCUUUUCUGAUGACGACCGGCGCACGGGUGCGUAACGCGUAUACAAUCUGCCUUAUACUGGGGUAUAGCCUUUAGAAAUGAAGAUUAAUCCCCCAUAGCCUCUUUUAAUGGCAUCAUUAUAAGAGUAAAGGUUACGGUAUAAGAUGAGUAUGCGUUCUAUUAGUUUGUUGGUGAGGUAACGGCUCACCAAGACUGCGAUAGAUAGGGGCCCUGAGAGGGGGAUCCCCCACACUGGUACUGAGACACGGACCAAACUCCUACGGGAGGCAGCAGUGAGGAAUAUUGGACAAUGGAGGCAACUCUGAUCCAGCCAUGCCGCGUGCAGGAAGACUGCCCUAUGGGUUGUAAACUGCUUUUAUACAGGAAGAAACCUUGGUACGUGUACCAAGCUGACGGUACUGUAAGAAUAGGAUCGGCUAACUCCGAGCCAGCAGCCGCGGUAAUACGGAGGAUCCAAGCGUUAUCCGGAAUCAUUGGGUUUAAAGGGUCCGUAGGUGGAUAAUUAAGUCAGAGGUGAAAUCUUGCAGCUCAACUGUAAAAUUGCCUUUGAUACUGGUUAUCUUGAGUCAUUAUGAAGUAGUUAGAAUAUGUAGUGUAGCGGUGAAAUGCAUAGAUAUUACAUAGAAUACCAAUUGCGAAGGCAGAUUACUAAUAAUGUACUGACACUGAUGGACGAAAGCGUGGGUAGCGAACAGGAUUAGAUACCCUGGUAGUCCACGCCGUAAACGAUGGUUACUAGCUGUGUGGACUUCGGUCUGCGUGGCUAAGCGAAAGUGAUAAGUAACCCACCUGGGGAGUACGUUCGCAAGAAUGAAACUCAAAGGAAUUGACGGGGGCCCGCACAAGCGGUGGAGCAUGUGGUUUAAUUCGAUGAUACGCGAGGAACCUUACCAGGGCUUAAAUGUAAGUUGCAUUAGCUAGAGAUAGCUAUUUCUUCGGACCACUUACAAGGUGCUGCAUGGUUGUCGUCAGCUCGUGCCGUGAGGUGUCAGGUUAAGUCCUAUAACGAGCGCAACCCCUGUUGUUAGUUGCCAGCGAGUCAUGUCGGGAACUCUAACAAGACUGCCGGCGCAAACCGUGAGGAAGGUGGGGAUGACGUCAAAUCAUCACGGCCCUUACGUCCUGGGCUACACACGUGCUACAAUGGUCGGUACAGAGAGCAGCCACUGCGCGAGCAGGAGCGAAUCUAUAAAACCGAUCACAGUUCGGAUCGGAGUCUGCAACUCGACUCCGUGAAGCUGGAAUCGCUAGUAAUCGGAUAUCAGCCAUGAUCCGGUGAAUACGUUCCCGGGCCUUGCACACACCGCCCGUC
rnacentral:rRNA from 1 species